rnacentral:lncRNA from 1 species
AUGGGAAAAGUGCAGCGUGAGGACAUGGAACAGAGCAGAAAAACGCUCCACACACCCGGGGUUGAUUUGGGUACAAAGCACAACUGCCAGCUGUCCCCGCAGGGAAGGGAGGCCGGAGAUGUUCGCAGGAGGGAGGGGCUCAGUCCCGGGCGGGGCAGGAUUUGGGUACAAAGCACAACUGCCAGCUGUCCCCGCAGGGAAGGGAGGGGCUCAGUCCCGGGAGGGGCAAGAUUUGGGUACAAAGCACAACUGCCAGCUGUCCCCGCAGGGAAGGGAGGGGCUCAGUCCCGGGCGGGGCAGGAUUUGGGUACAAAGCACAACUGCCAGCUGUCCCCGCAGGGAAGGGAGGGGCUCAGUCCCGGGCGGGGCAGGAUUUGGGUACAAAGCACAACUGCCAGCUGUCCCCGCAGGGAAGGGAGGGGCUCAGUCCCGGGCGGGGCAGGAUUUGGGUACAAAGCACAACUGCCAGCUGUCCCCGCAGGGAAGGGAGGGGCUCAGUCCCGGGCGGGGCAGGAUUUGGGUACAAAGCACAACUGCCAGCUGUCCCCGCAGGGAAGGGAGGGGCUCAGUCCCGGGCGGGGCAGGAUUUGGGUACAAAGCACAACUGCCAGCUGUCCCCGCAGGGAAGGGAGGGGCUCAGUCCCGGGCGGGGCAGGAUUUGGGUACAAAGCACAACUGCCAGCUGUCCCCGCAGGGAAGGGAGGGGCUCAGUCCCGGGCGGGGCAGGAUUUGGGUACAAAGCACAACUGCCAGCUGUCCCCGCAGGGAAGGGAGGGGCUCAGUCCCGGGCGGGGCAGGAUUUGGGUACAAAGCACAACUGCCAGCUGUCCCCGCAGGGAAGGGAGGGGCUCAGUCCCGGGGGGGGGGGGGGGGGGGGGGGGCCCCAAAAAUCACCCCAAAAUCACCUGCAAAAUCACUCCAAAAUCCCCCCAAAUUCACCCUCAAAAAUCACUCCAAAUAACCUUCAAGUCACCUCCAAAAUCACCCCAGAAUCCAUCCCUGGAAUGA